AUUUUUAAUACUUUCAGGAGAAUCAAGGUUUACUACAACAAGAUAUAUGCUGUCAAUUGAUGGUGUUGUUGUCACUGAGCAUAUUGCCACAUUUAUCACUGGCCUAACUAUUCUGUUGGCCUCCUAUUACAACUUCAAUAUAAGGUACCCCAUGGAUUCUGCAUCAAAACUCGAGUUCAUUCAAAGAUGUUUUGUUGGUAUCAAUCCCAAAUGGGGGAGCAAGAUAGAAGUAAAAAAAAACAUUGCAAAAGGCACUCUGAAGUCCAUCCGAAGGUCCUGUCCCUGAUUAAUGGUAUUGCUGAUGUAGACUGGAGGAGCUAAAUCCCACCAGAUGCUGUCAGCCACUAGAGGGGAGGAAACUAGAAUUGUGAUACACAAGUGGAUAAAACUUCUCUUCCAGUCUUGGUGAUGUACUUAAAUAAUGCUCUUUUUUUAAUGAUGUGUCAAUGACAAUUAUAAUGGUUAUGCUGUAAAGGUCAUGUACUCAAAUGCCUAGGUUCAUAUAUAUUUUUUCUUCUGGAAUGCUCUUAUUAAUGGUGUAAUGAUUACAAAGGUGAUGAUGACGAUGAUGUCAAGUUUUCUCCAUGCAAGUAUAAUGAUGAUUAUAAUGGUGGUGAUGAUGAUAAUAAUGCAAGUUUUCUCCAUGAUUGGUGAUGUAAAAUUAAAUACCUAGGUUCAAUUAUUUUCUGGAAUGCUCUUUUUUAUUUGUGUACGUAAUGAUUAUAAUGGUGAUGAUGAUGAUGAUGAUGAUGUAAAGUUCUCUCCAAGCUGGUUGAAGUAUAGUUAAAUGUCUAGGUUCAUUAUGAUUUUUUUUUUUUUUUCUGGAAUUCUCUUUUAAUGAAGUGUAAUGAUGAUGAUAAUGUAAAGUUCUCUCCAUGCUUGGUGAUGUAGUGAAAUGCUUAGAUUCAUUAUUAUUUUUAUUUAUUGAUUUAUUAUUUUUUAGGAAUGCUCUUUGAUGAAGCGUCAAGUAACUGAUUAAAUUGUAUAGUGUGGUUUAGUGGAAAUAUUUUUGCAAGUUUGUCUAAUGUAUUUUUAGUUUUAAAAAUGUGCUCAGGUAAUUUCUCCUUUUACCUCAUUUUGAUUUUGAAGCCUCUUAUCUAGUUCAUCUUUUACAUGAGAAUAUGAAGAUAAUGUAGGUUGUCCAUGUCCUAACCCGAUGUGCUGUUGGAUACAUUGUGUUAAAUAAAAUCUUUCUCUUAUGAAU